AGUUCAUGUUACCUGAUUCAUGUUUCUAUGUUAAAAAGCUCAUUGUACUUUGUUUUAUCUCAUCAAGAAGACGACGAAGACCUUUUCUCUGCAUUGAAAUGACGUAAUCCUCAAGGAACCACCUGUGAUGGACUUCAUUUGAGCUUUCCCAGAUGGAGGAGGAAUUUCCUCCUUGUCAUCCUGCAUUUUGCCCGAAGAGAAGCUGUGAUCAGAGGCCUCAUUUUCUACCUUGGUGAGGAGACAGAGGAGUUCAUCAAGGACUACCGAGUACAGAAUACACCUCUGACAUUGCUCUAAGUCAGUGCCCUGCCUGUACAAGACAAGAGGCAUACAGAGAUUGUGGCAGAUCCAGUGGCAUCCAGAGAUGGACCAGCUCCAGCCGGGUUUGGCUUUGUGAGGACUGGGGUAUUCAAAGCAACGCUGCCAACCAUAUGUGGACGACAACAAUCUCUUUAUUCAUUUACACAACACUGUACACAUGCUGUAUCUGCAUCACACAAUUGACUAUACAUGAAUGUAUGCAAAUGAGGAUGGGUUCCCUUUUGAGUCUGGUUCCUCUCAAGGUUUCUUUCUCAUACCAUCUAAGGGAGUUUUUCCUUCCCUCAGGCUUGCUCACUUGGGAUAACAUCUAGGACUGUUUGUCUGUUUCUUGUUUCUUAUGUAAAGCUGCUUUGAGGCAAUGCUCUUUGUUAAAAGCACUAUACAAAUAAAAUUGAAUUGAAUAAGAGUCUUGAUGCACUCUGCCUUACUGAAACCUGGCUUAGACCAAAUGACCACAUUGGUCUGAAUGAGUCUACUCCGUCAGGAUAUUCCGAUAAGCAUGAGCCCCGUCAGACUGGUGGUGGAGGUGGUGUUGCAACUAUCUAUAACAAUUCUCUUACUGUUACUCAGAAAACAGGACCCAGGUUUAACUCUGAAGUGCUUGUCCUUAAUGUAGCACUCACAGACAUGCAUAAUAAAUCCCUGCUAUCUUUUGCUCUGGCCACCGUGUAUAGACCCCCGGGGCCCUACGCUGAUUUUCUUCAAGAGUUUGCACACUUACUCUCAGACCUAUUGAUUCAUUUUGACAAAGUGUUGAUUGUAGGUGACUUGAACAUUCAUGUAGACGAUGCCAAUGAUGCUUUAGGACUCUGGUUCUGGAUUUACCAAAUUCCUUUGGGGUUAAACAAAACAUCACUAGACCAACUCAUCGUUUUAAUCAUAUGCUAGAUUUAAUUAUAUGACAUGGAACAUGUGAGGACAUAAAAAGUACAUAAAAAAAGAAACAUACAAGGUGUGAAUUAAAAAUUUAGAAUUACACAAUCUGAAACACACUAAUAACUGCUUUAUUGUGGAUUUAUUCUGUGCUGAACUUGU